rnacentral:rRNA from 1 species
UGGGGAAUUUUGGACAAUGGGCGAAAGCCUGAUCCAGCAAUGCCGCGUGUGUGAAGAAGGCCUUCGGGUUGUAAAGCACUUUUGCCCGGAAAGAAAUCCUUGGCUCUAAUACAGUCGGGGGAUGACGGUACCGGAAGAAUAAGCACCGGCUAACUACGUGCCAGCAGCCGCGGUAAUACGUAGGGUGCAAGCGUUAAUCGGAAUUACUGGGCGUAAAGCGUGCGCAGGCGGUUUGCUAAGACCGAUGUGAAAUCCCCGGGCUCAACCUGGGAACUGCAUUGGUGACUGGCAGGCUAGAGUAUGGCAGAGGGGGGUAGAAUUCCACGUGUAGCAGUGAAAUGCGUAGAGAUGUGGAGGAAUACCGAUGGCGAAGGCAGCCCCCUGGGCCAAUACUGACGCUCAUGCACGAAAGCGUGGGGAGCAAACAGGAUUAGAUACCCUGGUAGUCCACGCCCUAAACGAUGUCAACUAGUUGUUGGGGAUUCAUUUCCUUAGUAACGUAGCUAACGCGUGAAGUUGACCGCCUGGGGAGUACGGUCGCAAGAUUAAAACUUAAAUGAAUUGACGGGGUCAUAGCUGUUUCCU